rnacentral:rRNA from 1 species
CUGGCCCUCUCGGGGGCAUGUGCACACCCACCAUCCUCAUCUCUCCACCUGUGCACCUCUUGUAGACCUGGAUUGACUUUCCGAGGCAACUCGGUCGGGAAGAUUGCUGCGCUCUGUGAGCCAGCUUUCUUUGCAUGUCCAGGCCUAUGUUUUUCAUAUACCCCUAUAGAAUGUAACAGAAUGUAUCAUUGGGCCUUGUGCCUAUAAACCUUAUACAACUUUCAGCAACGGAUCUCUUGGCUCUCGCAUCGAUGAAGAACGCAGCGAAAUGCGAUAAGUAAUGUGAAUUGCAGAAUUCAGUGAAUCAUCGAAUCUUUGAACGCACCUUGCGCUCCUUGGUAUUCCGAGGAGCAUGCCUGUUUGAGUGUCAUUAAAUUCUCAACCUUAUUAACUUUUGUUGAUAAUGGAUUGGAUUGUGGGGGUUUCUUUUGCUGGCUUCUUCACAGAGAUCAGCUCCCCUUAAAUGCAUUAGCUGGUGCCCCGCGUGGACCAUCUAUUGGUGUGAUAAUUAUCUACGCCGUGGAUGUCUGCAAUCAUAUGGGUUUCGCACUGCUCUAACCGUCUGUUCAUUCGGACAAUACAUGACAAUUUGACCUCAAAUCAGGUAGGACUACCCGCUGAACUUAAGCAUAUCAAUAAGCGGAGGAAAAGAAACUAACAAGGAUUCCCCUAGUAACUGCGAGUGAAGCGGGAAAAGCUCAAAUUAAAAUCUGGCGGUCUCCGGCCGUCC